ACCUCUUUUACUAUUUUUUCCAUUCAGGUUUUAAUCAAUGGGCUACAACAGUUUGCCUCCUUAAACGUGAAGCCAAAGUUACAGAUUGUUGAAACUUUCAUCAAGGCUUAUUAUCUCCCUGAGACUGAAUACGUACACUGGGCACGAGCUCACCCCGAAUUCAGCAAGGAUCAGAUCGCGGGAUUGAUAAACCUCGUUGCUUCAAUUAAAGGUUGGAAAAGAAAAACCAG